rnacentral:rRNA from 1 species
GGGAGGUAGUGACAAUAAAUAACAAUACGGGAUUCUUUUGGAUCUCGUAAUUGGAAUGAGUACAAUUUAAAUCUCUUAACGAGGAACAAUUGGAGGGCAAGUCUGGUGCCAGCAGCCGCGGUAAUUCCAGCUCCAAUAGCGUAUAUUAAAGUUGUUGCAGUUAAAAAGCUCGUAGUUGAAUUUCGGGAUCAAUAUAUCGGUCAUGCUUAGGUAUGUACUGGUUUUAUUGGUUCUCACCUUCUAAAGAACCAUAAUGUCAUUCAUUUGAUGUUAUGGGGAAUUAGGACUGUUACCUUGAAAAAAUUAGAGUGUUUAAAGCAAGCUUACGCUUGAAUACAUUAGCAUGGAAUAAUGAAAUAGGACAUCCGAUUCUAUUUUGUUGGUUUCUAGGAUCGAUGUAAUGAUUAAUAGGGAUAGUUGGG